AACAUAGAUUGUGAUUGUGAAU
rnacentral:snRNA from 1 species